rnacentral:lncRNA from 1 species
CAAUUAUUAAACCUCACAAACCUCAUACAAGAAAAUGUGUCUGUGCAUUUUGCCAAGAUGAAAACCCAAGGGCACAGAGGUUAAAUGACCAAAUGAAAAACAUACAGGAAAAUCAGUGGCAGCACCAAGAAUGAAACAAAAAAUAAAGAAGUCUUUUCUCAGCAGCCAUCUUGAACCAGCCAUUGUACUAUAGAGUCUUCAUCACUGUCCUUAAAUGCAAUGCAUAGAAGUGUAACACUGCUUCCCCUGAUGCUCUACCAUUAACAAUAUUUUUCCUUGCAGAUGGGAAUAUGAUUUUUCAAUGUAGAUUAUUCCCAGCCUGUAACAACUGUUUCUAAAAUCCUUAAGUGAUUUUCCAGUAUUUUGUGCUUUGAAAUAAAUAUCUUCAACAAAUUUUACUUUAUGAUCAGGAAUAACUUAGUAAUUUUUUUUUUCCAGGUAAGAUACUGGGAUAACCAGAAAAGAUGACCCUCUUCUUAAUGGAAUUCUUAGUGGGAAGAGACGGCAAGGAGAUACAUGCAUUUAUGGAAGUGAAGCUCUACCAGUGUUGAGACAGAGCUGUGUUUCUGUACAUCAGGCAAGAAAGGCAAGAAGUGGGCUGGUGUGUGUCUUUGCAUUCCAACUGUCCCCAGCUGUGCCAUGGUUCCCCAAAGGCAGCAGAAUGCAUGUGUGCUCAUGCUGUUAAGGGUUGUGAUAAUGCUGGGUAGACCUCAGCUUGCAGCAUUGUGCUGCUGCAGUUCCAUUCACUGAAAUGCAGAUGUAGAAUACAAGUGUCAUCUCAGCCAUAACACCUUUCUGGCCUCAUGGCUUGCUUGUUUCCUGUGUAUUAAAAUUUCCGCUACAUAGUUGUCCAGUCACCCUAAAAGUCCUAAGUACUGGAGUUUCCAGCUUUUCCUUUUGAAGACUAUUUCACAAUUUGAAAUGUCUUGCUGUCACAGAGGUAUUCCUGACAUCCAUCCUAAUGAUUUAGUAUAUAUGAUAAUGAUAUCAGACCAUAAUGAUAAGAAUUUCAUUCUCUUAAUUUCAUCUCCCUAUUCUUAAUGAAACACCCAUGUAAAAAAAUUCCUUCCACAACUAGAGCCAGACUAUGGCUGAUCUUUCAUGUGCAUGCAAGCUGAAGAAGAAACAGAGAACCUGAAUUUCCCCUUGCCUGUAAGAUAAAUGCAAAACUAGCACCAAGAAAGUCUCUGAAAUAUAUUCUUUCAAGUCUGAAGAGUGUGUUUAAUAUGUGCAGUUAGUUUGAACUCAGAUGCUGUAGAAAAUGAGAAACAGAACUGAAAAUAAAUGAGCAGUUCAA